GCGACCGUAGCUCAAUCGGUUAGAGCGCCGGUUUGUGGUACCGGAGGUUGCGGGUUCGAUCCCCGUCGGUCGCC
rnacentral:tRNA from 1 species